rnacentral:tRNA from 1 species
UCGGGGAUCUGCUAAUGGUAGGCAGCCAGACUCUGAAUCUGGUAAUCUUGGUUCGAGUCCAAGUCCCCGAG